CGCGGAGGGGCCGAGCCGCACGCAGACGGACAGUGUGAGAAGGUGCUUUGGGAGCCGCCUUUGGGAUGGGAUGAGCGUUUGAAGCGAGCCGGGGUAGUCGCAAGGAGGAUCGUGGGUGACUCGUUAGAAGCGCAAGGGUAACUUUGUCUCUCGGUAUCUUAGGUGAAGAGGAAGGCGGCAACUGCAGGAACGUGCUAGUUAGCUGCCGUGCUGCUUUUGUCGAGGAUGGAAUCGGACCUCCGUCCCUCUGAAAGCUAAGUCGAGCGAACGGGGCCGAG